UAAUCAUUAGGAAACAAAGAAGUAGGUUCUAUAUUUGGGCACCUAGAACCUAUGGAGUGAGUGGUGCAACCGACCUAGGCUA
rnacentral:ncRNA from 1 species